rnacentral:rRNA from 1 species
AAUAUCGAACCUGGCCCCCUGGCCACGUCUACCUUGCAAACCCGUGGAAGCGAACCGUGCUUCGGCGCCUCGGCGUCGAGUUUAUGCUGCAGUUGGUAGUUUGCGUCUGAAUCAAACCGAAGAACAUAAAACUUUCAACAGAGGAUCUCUUGGCUCUUGUAUCGAUGAAGAACGCAGCAAAGCGCGAAAUGUAGUGAACAUAGCAGCACAAUUGUGAAUCAUCGAAUCUUUGAACGCACAUUGCGCCUCCGGUAGCUCGGAGGCAUGCCUGUCUGAGCGUCAUUUAAAACCAUGGACCCAGGAUUGGGUCCGUAUUGGGCGUCGCCCCCCUCUCCAGAGUGGCGCGUGGCCUCAAAGACAUUGGUCUCACAUGCGGACGAGCUCCCCUGGGACAGACCGCGUGGAGACCCUAAGCAUCUGACUUUGAUCUCAGGUCAGGUAGGACUACCGCCUG